CGCGGCAGCAGUCUGUGUCAAAUUAAGAAGGAGAUUAUUUUUCGCGUUGUUUUGGACUUUCUUUGCACUUCGCAAGUCUUUUUGCACCAAAACGUCGCUUUGGAUAACAGCCUUAUAUUUGCUUUUGUAACCUGUUUACGUCGAAGUGACAGAUUUGACAGCAGAAGAUCACCUGGUGCAGGUAUGCUGCAGGUUGAUGGAUGAACUGUUGGAUGGAUUCAUCGAUUCAUUCGUUUGUCUCCGGUUUCACUGCUGCUCUUCUUCCCUCUGUCCUCUCCCUCCAUUGCUGUCGAACUCCUCGGCUUGUGAGCGGAUGAAUGCGAAAUCUCGUGAUUGUACCUUCGCCCAAAGGACUCCAUGUCUUUCUUGGAUUGUUCCUGCAUUUCCCACACUCAAGUCCAGCCGUUGGACAUAGAGGAGCGCUAUGAGGACAUCAGCCACCAGUUU